GGGCCCGCACAAGCAGUGGAGCAUGUGGUUUAAUUCGAUGCAACGCGCAGAACCUUACCUAGGCUAGAAGUGCAGUGGACAACUCCUGAAAGGGAGCUUCUCGUAAGAGUCGCUGUAUAGGUGCUGCAUGGCUGUCGUCAGCUCGUGCCGUGAGGUGUUGGGUUAAGUCCCGCAACGAGCGCAACCCUUAUCAUUAGUUGCCAGCAUUUCGGAUGGGGAAUCUAAUGAGACUGCCCAGGUUAACUGGGAGGAAGGUGAGGAUGACGUCAAGUCCGCAUGGCCUUUAUGUCUAGGGCUACACACGUGCUACAAUGGUCGGUACAGAAGGCAGCAAGACCGCGAGGUGGAGCAAAUCCCUAAAGCCGAUCCCAGUUCGGAUAGUAGUCUGCAACUCGACUACUUGAAGUUGGAAUUGCUAGUAA
rnacentral:rRNA from 1 species